AAAAAACAUGUUUGUAUCCCCACCCAAAUUUAAGUUAAAUGAGAUCUGCGUCCUUGAAUACAUCCAAAGAAAUUGUCUUUGGGUCCUAAUUCCGGUGCAGUAGACAGACGUGAGAUCUAUCCCCUGGUUCCUGAGCCUACCCGAGUGUACUAUAUAAUUUGCAGGUGUCUAUGCAGCCCAGACAGUGACGAGACCGCACCGGAGGGGCACUACCCACGCGCUGCUGACGGACCCGAGCUAAGGACGAGACCAAGCUAAAACUUAACUAAUGAGAGGACUGGUCUCGCUGCAGGCAGCACACAACAAGUGGUGAAACUAAAUGAACACAGCUAGCUAGCUACAUCUCAACAUAAGGCUUUCUCAGCAGCAUCUUACCAACUUAUGGCAGGGAUUGGAAAUAUACUGGCCCAUCAGUCUAUUCCCUACCCCGGUACUAUAAUCAUGAAACUGCCGUCAUGCCGUAACUGCAGAAUCUCUCCCACCUUCAAGCGCAAGCUGAAGACGCACCUCUCCAAGCAGCACCUCUCCCCAUCCCUCCCUACCUCCCUGUGAACCUUAAUUGUUGUCUCUGUGACUUGCUUUGUGUAUCGGUAUUUUUAGUUGGCUAGGUAAGCAGUGUUUGGAUAGUUAACUUUGGUCACUUUUGCUCUGUUGUUUGUUUGUUUCUUUGUUAAAAAAAAACACAAAAAAAUAAAUAAAUUGGCCCUCGUCCUUAUCUUUGUUAUACAGGUAGCAGUUGAAAUUGUACUUCCCUCUAGGGUCUUUCAGCGAACUUAUCCCUGGUUAUGGGUAUGCACUUUGUUGUACGUCGCUCUGGAUAAGAGCAUCUGCCA